rnacentral:lncRNA from 1 species
CCAUCUUGAGUCGACUAUCUAAUAUUUUAAAAUUUUAAUUUUACUAUUCAAUUUUUUAAUUUGUUUGAUUUGAGUUAGUCAGCGAUAUUUUGACUUCAAAGUUAAGCUCAUUGCUUACCUUUAUUAAAUUUAUAGUUACAAGAAUUGCAUGAAGUAUACUAACUAAAUAUGUAAAAAUAGACAUUAACGCAUUCAAAUUUUAAAGUUAAAAUGAUGUUGACUGAC